rnacentral:lncRNA from 1 species
CCCACCUAAGCACUUGGGUUCAUCCACCCAUGUGCCCACCCGAGUGUUCAUCCAUCCACCUGCCCAUCGAUUUACUCAAAUCACCCACCCAUCCAUCUUUUUUACCAAGACAUUCAUCCAACAUCCAUCCACUCAGACAGUCAAAAAGCCAUAUGUUCACCAACAUAUCCAUUCAUCCAGUGACUCUUCCAUCUUUCUAUCCAUCCAUCAGUCCGUCCACCCACAUGGUCAUUGAUUCACCCACCCAUCCUUGUACCCAUUCAUCCAUCCGUUUAUCUAUUCUUCUAGCCAUCCAUCCAUCCAUCUACCCAUCCACCUAUUUGUCUAUCCAUUCUCCCACACAUUACACCCCAUUUGCUCUUCUACCCAUCCAUUCACCCACCUAUCCAUUCAUCCAUCCACACACUGACCAAACUUUUCACUCAUCUUGCAUGCAUUCACCAACUCAUCCAACCAUAAAUGCAUCUAUUUGUUUGUCUCUUUAUCCAUCCACCCAUAUAGUCAAUAAUCCAUACAUUCACCAAUAUACCCAGUGUCCCAUCCAUCCAUCCAUCCGUCCAUCCAUCCAUCCAUCCAUCUAUCCAACUAUCUACCUAUUGAUUUCACCCAUCUAUUCCACCCUUUCAUCCAUCCAUCCAUUCACCUACCCAUUCAUCCAUCCAUCCAUUCACCUACCCAUUCAUCCAUCCACUGAGCCAUCCAUCCAUCCACCCACCCACUUAGCAAUUCACCCAUAUAUUCCACCCAUUCAGCCAACCACUUACCUAUCUUUCUGUCCAUCCACUCACUCACUCAUCCACCCAUCCACCCAUUUCUCUGUCCAUUCUCCCACACAUUACAUGUAUAUUCAUUCAUCUGCCCAUCCACUCACCCACCUAGCCGAUCAUCCAUCCAUCCAUUCAUCCACCAAACCAUUCACCCAUGCAUUUAUCUAUUCAUCCAUCUAUUCAUGCCGCCAUUUAUCUAUCCUUUGAGCUAUCUACUCAUCCUUCCUCCCAUCCAUCCAACUUCCACCCAAUUUACACAUCCAUCUACCCAUCUACCCACCAUCAAUUAACACUCAUUUAUUCCUCAACCCUCCUACUCAUCCCCAUCCACUCCUUCCUAUUUAUCCACUGAUUCAUCCACCCUUCCACCCACCUGUCCAUCCACUCGUCCACUCAUCUAUUUAUAAAUUCACCCCUCUGUUUGUCUACCACAGGCAUUUUCUGUGGUCACUUCUGGGCUAUCUUGAUGCUUCCUCUCAGGAAUAAAGGUGAUUCUGACCUGGCCUCUGUCCCAUGAGUUCCCAGACCGAGGAUAUCUUGCCCUGGUGUAACAAUGGUUCAGCCCAGACAAAGGACUGAUG